CCCCUAGAGCGGGCGGACGGGUGAGUAACACGUGGACCGAAUCCUGCCCCCCGGCCCCGGGAUAGGCCCAGGGGAAACCUGGAUUAAUACCGGAUGAGACGGGACCCGCGAUGGCGGGACCCGGGAAAGGCGCUGCGGCGCCGCCGGGGGGAUGAGUCGUGCGUCCCAUUAGCUAGGACGGCGGGGUAACGGCCCAACCGUGGCGACGAUGGGUAGCCGGCCUGAGAGGGUGGACGGCCACAUUGGGACUGAGACACGGUCCAGACUCCUACGGGAGGCAGCAGCUAAGAAUCUUCCGCAAAUGGGGCGAAAGCCGUGACGGAGCGAACCGGCCGCGUGAACGAAGAAGGCCGUGAGGUUGUAAAGUUCUUUUCGGGAGGGGGAACAACCGUGGCAGGGAAUGGCCGCGGGAUGACGUGAAUCCCGGAAUAAGCCCCGGCUAACUACGUGCCAGCCGCCGC
rnacentral:rRNA from 1 species